rnacentral:rRNA from 1 species
UGGAAUUCGCCNUUAGAGUUUGACCUGGCUCAGAUUGAACGCUGGCGGCAGGCCUAACACAUGCAAGUCGUGCGGAAACGAGUUAUCUGAACCUUCGGGGAACGAUAACGGCGUCGAGCGGCGGACGGGUGAGUAAUGCCUGGGAAAUUGCCCUGAUGUGGGGGAUAACCAUUGGAAACGAUGGCUAAUACCGCAUAAUAGCUUCGGCUCAAAGAGGGGGACCUUCGGGCCUCUCGCGUCAGGAUAUGCCCAGGUGGGAUUAGCUAGUUGGUGAGGUAAGGGCUCACCAAGGCAACGAUCCCUAGCUGGUCUGAGAGGAUGAUCAGCCACACUGGAACUGAGACACGGUCCAGACUCCUACGGGAGGCAGCAGUGGGGAAUAUUGCACAAUGGGCGCAAGCCUGAUGCAGCCAUGCCGCGUGUAUGAAGAAGGCCUUCGGGUUGUAAAGUACUUUCAGCAGUGAGGAAGGUUCAUGCGUUAAUAGCGUAUGGAUUUGACGUUAGCUGCAGAAGAAGCACCGGCUAACUCCGUGCCAGCAGCCGCGGUAAUACGGAGGGUGCGAGCGUUAAUCGGAAUUACUGGGCGUAAAGCGCAUGCAGGUGGUUUGUUAAGUCAGACGUGAAAGCCCGGGGCUCAACCUCGGAAUUGC